rnacentral:RNase_P_RNA from 1 species
GCAGAAAAUCGUUCUAUCGCUCCGAAUAGGAGAGGAAAGUCCGGACAACGCAGGGCAUCGUACUGUUGAAAGAACAGAUACUUGUGAAAGUAUAGUAUGGUAGAAGAAAAUAACCGUCUGCCUUUGGUAGAUAAGGGUGAGAAGGUGGGGUAAAAGCCCACCGGUAUUACGUGCGAACGUAAUAGCCGUACCACUUACGAGUUGCAAGACCAUGUAAACCAACGCUUGAGAGCUGCCCGCUCGAUGUUGGAGGGUAGGUUGCAUUAGAUAAAUGAUAGAAAAUUUGCAUUAUGCAAAUUACAGAAUCUGGCUUAUAGAUUUUCUGCUUUU